GAUUAGUACAUGCAUAAGCGAACAUUUGAAGAAGACUACAGAAACGAGACCUAAGUUUCUAGCCGUUUCACUUCCAAUAUCGAUUUCUCAAUACAAUAGAACCGAUUAAAUUCUUUUCAUAGACCCAUCUUCAUUUCGGAUUCAACGAUUUGUGAGAGUAAAUCAGAUGAUAAGCGGUUUUUAGUGUUCACGGGAAUGAAUAGACCCCACUUUAGAGCGGAGUCACUUAAAGAUUGUAUGACAAGAAUGGAAGCUUUGCAAGCGGUGAAAAAUCCAGAUCCACAACUAUGGUAUAAGGACUUGGCAUUGAUAUUCAGGAGGUUCAUUUUUCAGUCUUCUCUUGCUUAUGGUUUCUUCUUGUGAGAGGAACUACUAUUAGUCUGUUUCUGGUGGCCAUAUUUAAUUGUGUAAAGGUGUUCUGUUUCUUCUUCAGUUGUUCGUCUGUGUCCAUUUUCCUCCAACUGCGGCGUUGUAAUUUCUUUGGCAGAGUCAAUUUGUAAUUUCAUACUUUAUAUUUUCCAGCUUCUUAACGCAUGUUAUUUUGCAGGCUUACUUUUCUUCUAAUGCUUUCGCUUUGGCUUUAAAGAAGUCCUCCCCAAGGGUGACAAAUGAGGUUGUCCAAAGGGGAUUAUUUUGUUAAUCCAAUGGUAGAUCCAGGAACUCUUACACCACCUCUCUUUUAUCAUCAUACUACAAGGUAUGUGGCUAUGCGUUUUUAGUCAUUUUGGCUUCACUUCACAUGCAUCAUUAGUAAGCUAUUUCCAAUGUUUUUUCAAGUAUAUCAAUUUGUCUUCACUUCACACGCAUCGCUAGAUGAGAGAUUUGACAAGUGGUGUCAUUUCAAUAUGUUUUUUCUAUGUAAUAUACAUAAUCACACAUACUGGAAAUGACUUAUGGAAUAUGAAUUUAAGUCAUGACUGCAUUUUGAAGUGGAGUCAAGGUUAACUUAUUUAUUUUAAUUAUGUUAUGGUUAUUUCUUGGUUGAGUAUGUGAAUCACAUUUUGGAAUAUUGAAUGAAUUUCAGGUUUAUGUAGUUUAUAUUAGGGGUGUGCAUGGUUGGUUAUUUUCAAAAACUAAACCAUAACCAUUUUAAAACCAUUUAAACGAUUUGGAUUUAUAACCAUAUCCAUAUUUUAAUCAAAACUGGUUAUAAAAUUGGUUAUGAUUAUAUAACCGGUUUUUUAAAAAAUCCAGUUUUGAAAAUUAUU